rnacentral:lncRNA from 10 species
CAGCUAUAAUACACACACCAAACCAGCCAGAGAACCUCCUUUGUUCAAACAGAAUCCUUCCUCUGCCGUUUUGGGGGCAGUGGAAGCCAAAGCAGCCAGAAUGGGCUCUGGCCUGUCACCUAGGGACGGUCCCCUCGAUGAGGCGGUUCCCCUGGGGCCCCACUGUGGGCCCCGCCACCUCCUCAGCCUCAGAAGCUCGCCUUGGCCCUGGUGUCUAAAUAUAGCUCUGCCGGGCCAAGCCUGAGGUCUCACACUCCCAACUGCCCCGGGUGGCCGGGGGAGGAGAUUCAUUCAGGCCUCGAGAGAGCAUUUCAGGAGCCACUUAGGGCUGAGCUCAGGGCCCCCACUGUGACGCAGGUGUGCCUCUGCCUGUGGGGCUUGCGGACCCCCUCAGGAGACACACAGAUAUGAUUUUGAGUAGCUAACUCGAUCGAGAAAACACAGACCAGGACUCCCCUCGCCCAGCCUGGAAGCAGGAUGCGUCAGGGCGGGAGGGAAAGGAAGGGGUCUAGGCUGGGGAGGGGAGGCACCAAGGGGAGAGAGAGGAAGUGUGGUCUGGCGCUGGAACAGAUUUGUGUGGUAGAAUGUGGGGUGCGCCCCAGCAGGACAUGGGCUAGGGAGCAGUGGCCGGGGGUCAGCAGGGUGCAGAGCACAGGGAUGCCGUCUCUUCUCCUUUUGGCUCCACUGCCCCUCAGGGCCCUGCACAGGCUGGCACUCGGCAGGAGAUACCGCUCAGAUGUUAUUUUCCAAAGAAUCCCGAGGCCGGGCACGCUGACUCACGCCUGUAAUCCCAACACUUUGGGAGGCCGAGGCGGGUGGAUCGCUUGAGGUCAGUUCGAGACCAGCCUGGCCAACAUGGCAAAACCCCAUCUCUACUAAAAUACAAAAUUAGUUGGGCGUGGCAGUAUGUGCCUGUAAUCCCAGCUACUCGGGAGGCUGAGGCAGGAGAAUCGCUUGAACACGGGAGAGUCUCCCGGUGAGCUGGGAUCACACCACUACACUCCAGCCUGGGCAACAGAGCAAGACUCCAUCUCAAACACACACACACACACACACACACACACACACACACACACACACACACACACACAGAGAGAAUCCUGGUGGCCAGAGUGGAAGUGGAGGCAGCACAAAGGAGGGGGACAAGGUGGCGGGAGCAGCAAGGGGCCACGGGCGAGGCAAGGGUCCCCUGGAGCUGCAGGUGAGAGAGGAAAAUGAAGGAGAAUCCACAGGACAUGGGGGAUGAGAGCAAGGGAAGGAUUCAGGCUGCCUGUGCCCCUCCCCAGACCUUGGUCAUCGAGCCGCUGACCAGGGCCCUGCUUGGGGGACAGACACUCUAAAAUAAAAGGGUAAAUAUCUGUUGAAAGAGAGCCCGGCCCCUGCUCACCACCAGACAUUAGGGCCUCGGGGAGAAGGCCUUCUGCUCAGCUAGUGCGGGUGGAGGGAGAGCAGCCUGGUCCCUGGCACAGCCUUCUGGGUAGGGACUGUCUCAGCCUCAAUGGCCUUUGGACCUCCCACUUUCAGUCCCAGCAAUAAAUCUUCCCAACAGCACACGGUUUUCUACCUGAAAAGCUCUUUCCAUCCAGCAUCCUCUGCUAGCUUCAAACAGCCCUGGCACUGGGCCAGGCAGGGAGGCACAGCCAUUGCAGAGAUGGGGAAACUGAGGCUCUGGCCUGGCCCAGGCCCAAAGAACCCACUGUUUCCCAGAUCUUGGAGUAGCUGAGACUGGUGCAGACAUCUGAACACUUGGCCAGGGCUGGGGAUUUGGAAGGUGCUUAACGCCUGCUGGAAUCAACGAAAGGGAGAGCAAGGACACGGCGCUGCUCCCCUCUGCCUUUGGCCCCAGUGGAUAACCUUGCACAGCAAAGCGCUGGCCUUUCUAAAAUGCUAACACAGAGGAGCUGCCCACCUACUUGGAGGCUGGCUGCCAACAGUCAGCACAGCCCCUCUGCAGACACGCAAGGCCCCUGUCAUCCCUUCCUGCCUCAUCGCUCACUGAGCCCUGGAAGACAGCCUCGUCCUCACACCCACCUGCGCCCCCCAUGUGCUGCUGGACUUGGGCCAUGGAACCUCUGUCCUCCCCGCUCACCCAGGGAGGGCAUAUAUCUCUUCCAUGUCCCUUGCAAACCUGACAUCCUCAGAGAAGUGGAGGACUUCCCUGAUAUUUCCUCUGCCCCUUGGCACCAAGGGCAGCCUCUGUUGGAGUGACCCAUUCAUCCUGGUCUGCCCAGGACUGCCCAGUUUUAGCAAUGAAAGUCCAGUGUCCUGGAACCCCUCAGGCCUGGGCAAACCAAGAGGACUGGUCACCCUGGCUUCUGUUGACUCUCACUGGGUGGGCAGGACAUGUUCACACUCCCACUGCCGGGAGACAGCAGCCUGAGAGUCACCAGGGGCAGGGGCUGGGCUGCUCUCUACCUCCCCAACCCUGCCAAGGCCAGGCCACAGAAGAGGCCCAAGGACAGGCUUGCUGACGCUGGCUCACUGCCUAGAGGAAAGAAGAAAUGAACCAGCACAGGGCUGGGUGCAAUGGCUCACGCCUGUAAUCCCAGCACUUUAGGAGAAGGGCAAGGCAAGUGGAUCUCCUGAGGUCAGGAGCUUGAGACCAGCCUGACCAACAUGGUGAAACCCCAUCUCUACUAAAAAUACAAAAAUUAGCUGGGCGUGGUGGCAGGCGCCUAUAGUCUCAGUUACUGGGGAGGCUGAGGCAGGAGAACCGCUUGAACCCAGGAAGAGGAGGUUGCAGGGAGCCAAGAUCACGCCACUGCUGCACUCCAACCUGGGUGAUAGAGCAAGACUGUCUCAAAAUAAAAAGAAAGAAAGAAAGAAAAAGAAACGAAUGAGUAGACAACGAAACAGUAAUCUUGCCUCCUUCAAAUCUGCUCAGAUGUCACCUCCUCCAUGAGGCCUUCCCUGACUGCCAUCUCAGAUGAUAGCCUCCCCACUCCCCACCCCCACUUUACAGGCUUCCCUAGCAUGUAUCACUGACUGACAUUCUCCAUGUCAUUUGUUCACUUUCACUAGGGUCCGUCUCUUGGACUACAGUGUCAGCUCCACAUGGGCAGGGGUUUUUAUCUGUUUUGAUCACUGAGGUAUUUCUGAUGCUUAGAAUAAUAGGUGUUCAGUAAGAAUUCAUUGAAUGAAUGAAUCCUUGCUUUCCUGCAAAAGAUGGAGCCUCCUGGCCUUCUCACACAUUUGGUCUUUUGUUUAAUUUGUUCAACAGACAUCAGUGCCCUCUGCGUCACUGUGUGUGCAUGCAUGCAUGUGUGUGGGUGUAGGUGUGUGUGCAUGUGCCUGUGUGUGUGCCUGUGUUUGUGUGUGUGCAGGUGCAUGUAUGGGCGUGUGUGUGCGCCCAUGUGUCUGUGCGUGUGUGUGCAUUGUGUACUUGUUGUUUGCAUGUGUGCUUGUGUGUGUGUGUGUGUGUAUACAAAGCAGAGUGCCCAAUCUGAUGG